rnacentral:tRNA from 1 species
ACUUAUAUAGGAAAGAAGAAAUCCAUUGGUUUUAGGUACCAAAAACCUUGGUGCAAAUCCAAGUAAAAGUA